rnacentral:tRNA from 1 species
GGAGGGAUGGCCGAGUGGUUGAAGGCGACGGUCUUGAAAACCGUUGAGCGACAGCUCCGUGGGUUCGAAUCCUACUCCCUCCGCCA